UUCCUACGGGUGGCAGCAGUGGGGAAUUUUGGACAAUGGGCGCAAGCCUGAUCCAGCCAUGCCGCGUGCAGGAUGAAGGCCUUCGGGUUGUAAACUGCUUUUGUACGGAACGAAAAGGUGCCUUCUAAUAAAGGGCGCUCAUGACGGUACCGUAAGAAUAAGCACCGGCUAACUACGUGCCAGCAGCCGCGGUAAUACGUAGGGUGCGAGCGUUAAUCGGAAUUACUGGGCGUAAAGCGGGCGCAGGCGGUUUUGUAAGACAGAGGUGAAAUCCCCGGGCUCAACCUGGGAACUGCCUUUGUGACUGCAAGGCUGGAGUGCGGCAGAGGGGGAUGGAAUUCCGCGUGUAGCAGUGAAAUGCGUAGAUAUGCGGAGGAACACCGAUGGCGAAGGCAAUCCCCUGGGCCUGCACUGACGCUCAUGCACGAAAGCGUGGGGAGCAAACAGGAUUAGAUACCCGAGUAGUCC
rnacentral:rRNA from 1 species